rnacentral:siRNA from 1 species
UAAUCUCAACCUCGUGGUGUACGC